AAAAAAAAAAAAAAAAAAAAAAAAAAAAAAAGGAGUUUUGCGUUGAAGAAAAUUAGGGUUUUGCGUCUUUGAGCAAACGGCACGAUCCAGAGGGUCGGUUAGCAGCGACUGAGGUGUGCUCAAACAAUGAUCACAUAUGGAGGAGACAAUCCCGUUUUCUGCACAGCCAGUGAUAACUACAAAGACAGAUCCAUUUUCAUGAUUUGGUAAAAAAAUUAUUCUGUCAGGUUCCAAAGACAGAUGAAUGAGGAAGGUUAUUACACCAGUGCAAUUACAAAUGAUACCCCAAAUUGCUCACUAUCAACCAGAUUAUUGAGCCCCACGAAGAUUGUACCAUGUGGUUGGAUGAUGACUUACUGAGGCUCCACGAUUGGGAAAAGCUCUUUCUGAACGAGAACCGGACACCUUUAGAUAUUAAUAGGGGGUGAAGCUUCUGCCUCAGUAUCAUUUUGGUGAUAGGGUACCAACAGAUUCACUUCCAGCAUGGUGAAAUUACAAAUUAUCCAGAAAUUUUCUGUAAAAAGGGCAAAAAGCUGUGUGUCUAUGAAUCAGCCACAAAUUAUCCAGCGUGGGAAAAGACAUGGACACAGAUUUCAUAGACACACAGCUUUUUUCUUUUUUUCCAAAAAGAAGCAGUCUCAGUUCUCCAAAGGUUCCUCUGCAACUAUGGGGUUAUUGAAAAUUUUCUUAAAGGAAUUGUUUUGGGAGUGGGGCUUGAGUCCUUGGUGGCAGAAGAGCAUGAAGAUGACCAAACUUAUGUUUAAUUGUAGGCUUAUUUUAUGGGUGAUAUGAAUGCCUUGGUGCUUUUGUUUGGAAAGUUGUUUGGAAAGGAGAAGUAUGGCUGGGGUCUUUGUCAUUUGUUUGUGUUUGGAUUUUUAUUGUGGGGUCUUAAAAGAGUGGUACUUUUUUUUUAUAAGUGAAAAGAGUGACACUUUAAUGAACAAUCAUGUUUUUUCUUAAAAAUUUCUUAUUUCACAUAUUCAUUCCUAUUAGAAACAAUGUUAGAAAGAUCAAAAAAUAAUGUUUUACUUGGCUAUUAUCUGCAUACUUAAACUAGAGUAAUGCUUUUGAGAUUGUCCUUUGACAACAAGAUUUUGGAACUAACUAUUUAUUUAUUUCUAUCUAUAUCUAAAUGAGAUAACUUACUUACUGCUCAUUAACAGAUUAGAUGCCUUUGGGUUAUCUACCAUUGCCAAUAAGCUUUGAAAAGUAUGCUUUUUCUUCUUUCUUCUUUUGUUUUUGUUUUUGUUUCCGAAUUCUCUUAUUUUGUGUUGGAAUUGAGUUCUUAUUUUGUGAAGCAACUGUAUUGGUCUCGUUUCUGUUUAAAGAGUAUCAUGAGAUGCUUUCAUUCAAGUAUGGCUUCUAUUGCUUUGAUCUAGUUUUUUUUUUGUCUUUUUUCUUUUUUUUCUUUUUCAGAUUUGAGUCCCUGGACGAGCCAGAAAAUUGUCCAAUAAUAUUGCAAAAAUAGUUUUUGUGGCAAAAACAGUUUUAUUGUAGUACUUAUGAUUGGUUGUUAUUUUGUUGAGUCUUGUGAUGGGAAAACACUUGAAAUGGAUUGUUUUUAUUUAUUUUUAUAUAAUUAGAUUCUAUAUUAACUGAAUUGAUUGUAUAAUUAUUUAUAAUUACAUGCUUGAGGGUAUUCACUGAGUGGUACUUUUCACCAAUGGACAAUCAUGUUUUUUUUUUUUUUCAUUUUUCGUGCAUUAAAAUAGGUUAUCUCCCUCCCAAAAGUCAAUUAGGUUUCCUGCUUAUUCUUCUACUCGUAACUUUUCUCUAUGUGGAGAAUAACAGGAACAGAAUAAUCUAAAGACACAUAGAAAGUAACCAAAGAGCAUGCACAUAUAGUGUAUAUAUACAUAUAUAUAUACUUGGGAUAAGGGUUGUGAUUCGUUGAGAGAAUGUUAUUUUUGUAAAUGGAAUGAAGGAUCCGCUAUGCAAAGCUUGGUGAAGGUGUGAAGAAGAAAAGAUAAAGUACACCAUCAUUGUUCGUUCUCUUUCGUGGUCUCACGGGUCAUUGAAGAGGUGGAGUUUGGAGGGGUCAUAUUGUGAAGUUUCACUCUGCCGAAGGAGUAUUAUGUUGGCUCACCUAUAUGCUUUCAUGCUCGAAUCAUGUUUGAUUUUGAUGGGAACAUACUGAAGUGCUGUUUGGAAUUGCUUGAAAAAUUAAAAGCUUUUUUAUUUUGAAAAAUUACAUUUAAAUUCAAUAACUACUAUUAAAAGCACUUUUGAUAGUAGUUAUCAAAUUUAGCUCAGUAUAACUUCUGAAUGAGUAAGAAUUUGGAACUUUCAAAUUUGUGUUUUUUAAGUAGAGGUAAUUUUUUUUUUUUUUUUUUUUCAUUAGACAAAUUUAUCCUUCUUAUUUUUUAUAGAGACAAUUAUAUUCAUUCCUUUAUGGUAACAUCUUUUGAAAUGAUAUUAUAUAUACACACACAUACUUCAAGCUUUAAGGUCAAAUUUAAGGGGUUUAGAGUGUGAUUUGUGUGAUGAGUAUGAAGGCAAAGUGAAAGGGCUUUGAGAAAGCUUCCAUUUGUCAUCCAUCUUGCUAGGGUUUGGAGAAAAUUUCGAAUUUAGCUUGCACUAGGGGGCUUGUUUGGCUAAGACGAGGUAUGGGUUUUCUAAUACCUUGAACUUUGUCUUUUGUUGAGAAUUAAAAUCUAGUUCUUUACUAAAUUUCUUAUUCAAUGUCAUAACAUGAUUUAAUUACUAGUUGGAAGUAGAUGAUAUGUUCAUUUGAUUUAAGCAUGCUUAUGUGUGAUUUGUAUGAUGCCAUUGGUGCUAAGUUUUAAAUGCUACUAUGGUUGUUAAUGUGAAUGGUGAGAUGAGCAUGCUUGUAGUCAUAUUGUAGAAGAUACUAUGCUUGUUGCUAUAUUGUAGAGAAUGCCAUGCUAGUACUUGGUACCUUGUUAAUGCCACGUCUAUGUUCAUUUCGUUAAGAAUGUCAUGUACACACCAUUGUAUCUACAUUGAUGAAAUUGAGACUAAGAGUAUGAAUGAUAGUACUUUGCAUGGCAUGGAAGGGGGAAAAAGGAACUGGAAUGGGUUUGAAUAAAAUUUUAUAAAAGAAACUAAAUUUCGCGAGUCUGAUGCUAACUUUGACCUAGAGGAAGCGUGUGCCGAUUUAAGACGCAUAAAGUUGAUUUCUAGACCCAAAUGGUUGUCGAUUUAGAGGCCAGGGAUAACUAAUCAAUCUCGCAUCGGUAAAGUCUGUUAGCGGUUUUCGGUGUGUGUUAGGGUCGGUAGAGACCAAGUUGGGGACAUAGUGCAUUGCAUUGCAUUUUUAUGCAUACUUGUGAUAAGUUAUAUAUUUGCCGUGAUGAGAAUGAUCAUGUGAAUUAAAUACUAUAGAAUCCCUGAUGCAUGACCCAAGUUCCGUUUUAUUCCCGUUAUGUGUUUCAUGGCUCAAAGGAGUCCAAAGUUGAUGCAUUUGGAAACUUCUACUGAGCCUCUGUGCUCACCCCUUCCUUUAAUAUUUUUCAGGUCAUGGCAAAGAUGUAGUUGAUGACAGGCCUUCCUAAAGAUAGCUGGAGUUGAUAGAAUUAUGUUUUGUUGUAUUUUGUAAUCAAUGGUUAGCCACAUCUAUUCUUUUGUAAAGCAUUAUAAUGAGGCCUUGAAUGUCAUGACAUUUAUCUUUAUCCUUUUGGGACUAUUUUGUAUGUAAUGGGGCAUGAGAAGAAUGAAUGGCGAUCAAUUUAGCGA